rnacentral:misc_RNA from 1 species
GAUGAAGAACGUAGCGAAAUGCGAUAAGUAGUGUGAAUUGCAGAAUUCCGUGAAUCAUCGAAUCUUUGAACGCACAUUGCGCCUUCUGGUAUUCCGGAAGGCAUGCCUGUUCGAGAGUCAUUAACAACCGUUUCGAUCCCUUUCUUUCAGAAAUUACAAAGAGGAAAAGGGUUUGGUUAUGGUGGAGGAGGGAAAGGGAGCGUUUAGCCUGUAAAAAAAGAGGCUGUGUUCCGCCUCCCCCCCAAAAUUGUACAGGCUGUCGUGUGCGCCCACGCAUCGAGGUGUUGUAAAAGCUGCCACGGCACUUUUCACCUGUGCAGUGCGAGAUUGGCCAGCCGGUUUAAAAACCCCUCCAAACAAUCAAAGGUUGACCUCGGAUCAGGUAGGGAUACCCGCUGAACUUAAGCAUAUCAAUAAGCGGAGGA